GCCGGGAGGGGUGGUGUAGUCUUGUAAUCCGACGGCUCGGAGGGUAGGUACAAAGGAUAUUUUAGGGGCGGGGGUUUUGGGAUUGGAUUUCUCACGUAGGCGUCCGCUAGAGGUAAAUCUUCGAAUUGGAUGCCUUGGGGGAGCCUGAGGUAGGCAGGUUGAAACUGGAAAAGUCACCGAAUUGAGAGUCGUGAGUUCAAAACCUGGAAGCGGGAGUUCAAUUUCAGCUCGUCCAAACAAAAACAGACCUGUACCUAC
rnacentral:SRP_RNA from 1 species